AUGGCGACCAGGCCGGGGCCUUUGACUGAAUGGCCGUGGCAGAGGAUGGGCAACUUCAAGUACCUGGUGAUGGCGCCGGUGGUCGUCCACGGCGCGUACCGGGUGAUGAACAAGGGGUGGGGCGACAUCGACCUGGCCUACUCGCUGAUCCUGCCGUCGCUGGCGCUGCGGAUGAUCCACAACCAGAUCUGGAUCAGCCUGUCCCGCUACCAGACCGCGCGCAGCAAGCACCGCAUCGUGGACCGGGACAUCGAGUUCGAGCAGGUGGACCGCGAGCGCGGAUGGGACGACCAGAUCGUCUUCAACGGGCUGCUCUUCUACGUGGGGUACCUGGCGAUGCCGAGCGUGCGGAGGUUCCCGCUGUGGCGGACGGACGGGGCGGUGGCAACGGCGCUGCUGCACGCGGGGCCCGUGGAGUUCCUCUACUACUGGUUCCACCGCGCGCUGCACCACCACUUCCUCUACUCGCGCUACCACUCCCACCACCACGCCUCCAUCGUCACCGAGCCCAUCACCUCGGUCAUCCAUCCUUUUGGCGAACACAUUGUCUAUUUCACGCUCUUUGCAAUCCCGAUGUUGUCCACAGUUUAUAUGGGAAAUGGCUCCGCCCUCGUGUUUGUGCUGUAUAUCGUUUACAUUGACUUCAUGAACAACAUGGGGCACUGCAACUUUGAGUUGGUGCCAAAGUGGAUGUUCCAAGUCUUUCCUCCUCUCAAGUACCUCAUGUACACCCCAUCGUUUCAUUCCCUUCACCACACGCAGUUCCGCACAAACUAUUCACUCUUCAUGCCAUUUUACGACUACAUAUACAGCACUAUGGACAAGGCAUCUGACGAGCUGUAUGAGAGCUCACUGAAAGGGACAGAGGAGACACCUGACCUUGUUCAUCUCACACAUAUGACCAACUUGCAAUCGGCUUAUCAUCUAAGGGUUGGAUUCGCCUCCAUAGCAUCCAAACCAUCUGAUAACUCCGAGUGGUAUAUGUGGACGCUAUGGCCCUUGGCAUGGCUGUCAAUGGUGGUAGCAUGGAUUUAUGGGUCAUCUGCAUUCGUGGUCGAGAGAAUCAAACUGAAGAAGAUGAAGAUGCAAACAUGGGUCGUACCGAGAUACAACUUCCAAUAUGGUCUAACAUGGGAUAGAGAAUCGAUCAACGACUUAAUUGAAAAGGCGAUAUUGGAUGCUGAUGUAAGAGGGGUUAAGGUGCUCAGCCUAGGGCUACUAAAUCAGGCAAAACAGCUCAAUGGGAAUGGUGAACUAUUUAGACAAAAAUACCCAAAAUUAGGAGUUCGAAUUGUUGAUGGAAGUGGCUUAGCAACUGGAGUUGUCCUAAAAAGCAUCCCUUCAGAUGCAAAGCAAGUUUUUCUUCAUACAGGGACUUCUAAGAUAGCCCGUGCCGUUGCUAUGGCUUUAUGUGGCAAGGGCAUCCAGGUGAUCAUGAAUCGUAAGAAAGAGUAUGACAUGCUCAAGUCACAGAUGCCAGAGAACAGAGCAAGCUACUUGAAGUGCUCCAGCAAUGACAUAACCAAGAUUUGGCUAGUAGAGAGGAUCGACGACAAAGAACAGAGGAUGGCACCAAAAGGAACAGUGUUCAUUCCAAUAUCGCAGUUCCCCCUUAAGAAAGUCCGCAAGGACUGCACUUACUUGAGCACUCCGGCGAUGAAGAUCCCGGACACCAUGCAGAACAUCCACUCCUGCGAGAACUGGCUGCCGAGAAGGGUGAUGAGCGCGUGGCAUAUCGCCGGAAUACUUCACGUCCUGGAAGGGUGGAGCGUGCACGAGUGCGGUGACGACAUGAUGGACCCUGAGAAGGCAUGGUCGGCUGCUAUCAGAUGGUACUACCGAGAAUUUAUGCUAAAACCGCAGCCUUUUUUUCUUUUCUUUCGGGAACACGCAGGAGAUCUGUUUGGUCGGACAGCUAAGUCUGUAAGAUUUAUCAGUGUGAACAUCGAACAUCAAUGCCAUUAA
rnacentral:rRNA from 1 species